rnacentral:misc_RNA from 1 species
AUCGCUAUCCAGCGAACGACUGCCGUGCCCGCCACGACUGGCUGGUCCUAGUCUUUUAGGACCGUCUGUCACGUGCGGUGCCGGCGUCGAUGAGGAAUGC